AUAGUAAAUUGCAGAUAAUGUGAAACCGUGCAAAUCAAAACAAAUUAUUCGUCGCACGUUGCCCCGAAGCAAACAGACGAAAACAUAUACAUAUAGUAACCAUGAGCUGGGGUCGUGAUUUUUGUGGGUUUGUUCGAUUUUCGAGGGGCACGUGAGGCUUUUUUUUUGUCGCCUUAGCUGAUAGCAGAGAUCCUCGAUCUUUUGGAGUCUGGAAAUGUCUUGAAUGCUGCGGUGAGGUCUAGCUUUUUCUUGUCAGCGAUCAGUCGAGAUCUUUGCCUGCCGCGGGAAAGUUCUGUUAUUGAAUGGCGAUCCUCUUUUUUUUUGAAAACAACUCAAGUGUAUAGAAAUCACACAUACGCCGCAUUGGCCUUCGCCAGCUGUUCAUCUUCCUCCCCCAAACUGACCCCAGCCCCCCGGCUUGCAUUAAGGUGCACUUGACCAGAUCCAACGGGCUGGCCAACUCCGGGACCUGUGGUCGCUCAACUGGUCAGCAGUAGCAGUCGAAAUCCUGGCUUUGUUAUCAUGUCUGCGGCAGGCUUCCUUUGCUGCUACUGCGAAAUAAUGUGAUGUUUGCUGGGGAAAAUCUGUGCGAAUUCCAUAAGAGAAUUUCAGUAUUG